rnacentral:lncRNA from 1 species
GGGAAAAAAAUUAGCAUUAGGCACUGCAUUUUAAUAAAGCAUCUGUCUGGUUUUGAUUUCACAGAUAUAAAAAAAAAAUACAGGCAAUCUGGAAUUAAGCUGGACUACUUCAAACUUUCUAUAAACCACAUUUGGGAUUUGCUCAGCAUUUCUGAGGUUCAAUUUACAGAGACUUCUUCAAGUCAAAAUAACCCUAAAUAAACUGUGGGGGGAUGUUGUCAGGGUCGUGAUUCAUAAUCUGCUUCCACAAAAAGCACCCUCGGAUGGAGUGAGGCAGACUUUCCUUUAUCACUUUACCUGGCAUCAUCCAGGCUUGUUCUAAUUACAGAGAGGCUGUGAACUGCUCCAUUUAGGGACCUGGAGGAGAUUUUCCUUCCUGCAGUCAAUAUCAUCUGUGAGUUAAUCAAGGAGAACUUGGUUAUUAAUAGAACGUGUGGGUUCUCGGGUUGAACACGAGUCUGCAGUGGCUCUGUGUCCCCGGGGCAUGGGCACAGAGGAUGCUGGGACUCUGCGGACCCCGGCAAGAUGGGAGAGGCUGUCAGCUUUGAGGGUCUUUGUGGGCAAGGCCAGACCCUCUGGCAUCCACACCCCUCCACACGCAAAGGCUUUCCCGCCAGCAGCUCUAGCCCCUCAGCUGUCUUGCUUGGGGCGGGGGGUGGGACUUCAGCAGGCGCUGACCUUGAGCCAGACUCCCAGCUGCCCCUCCUGGCGACAGAGGACACCCCCAAACCUUGCUGCCCCUAGGACACCCUCCCUCCCCUGGGCAGUCAUGUGGACCAUCCAGAAUCCAGUGUCCCUGAGGGUUCGCCUGAUCACCUGCUGCUCUGGAACCCACCCCCUCACGGUCACAGGCUGCUUCCUCGAGUCCUCUGGCCGACACUAUGACGGUCUGGCCCUCCCAGAGAGGGCAGCUCACUUCCCUCCGUCCUCGUCUCAGCAGAGGAGCCAGGCAGGUGCAGCUCCUGCACCCUGGCUGGCACGUUUGAGCAGCCAACCCCGUCUGCACUGA